rnacentral:rRNA from 1 species
CCUACGGGUGGCUGCAGUGGGGAAUAUUGGGCAAUGGGCGCAAGCCUGAUGCAGCAACGCCGCGUGAAGGAAGAAGGCUUUCGGGUUGUAAACUUCUUUUCUCAGGGACGAAGCAAGUGACGGUACCUGAGGAAGCAGCCACGGCUAACUACGUGCCAGCAGCCGCGGUAAUACGUAGGUGGCAAGCGUUAUCCGGAUUUACUGGGGGUAAAGGGCGUGUAGGCGGGAAAGCAAGUCAGAUGUGAAAACCAUGAGCUGACCCUGUGGCCUGCAUUUGAAACUGUUGUUCUGGAGUACUGGAGAGGACGACGGAAUUCCUGGUGUAGCGGUGAAAUGCGUAGAUAUUAGGAGGAACACCAGUGGCGAAGGCGGUCUGCUGGACGGCAACUGACGCUGAGGCGCGAAAGCGUGGGGAGCAAACAGGAUUAGAUACCCGUGUAGUC